rnacentral:rRNA from 1 species
GACGAACGCUGGCGGCGUGCUUAACACAUGCAAGUCGAACGAUGAAACCUAGCUUGCUAGGUCGAUUAGUGGCGAACGGGUGAGUAACACGUGACUAACCUGCCCCUUUCUCUGGGAUAACGCUCCGAAAGGAGUGCUAAUACCGGAUACUCACACCGAGGCACAUGCCUUGGUGUGGAAAGUUUUUCGGAAAGGGAUGGAGUCGCGGCCUAUUAGCUUGUUGGUGAGGUAACAGCUCACCAAGGCGACGACAGGUAGCCGGCCUGAGAGGGCGACCGGCCACACUGGGACUGAGACACGGCCCAGACUCCUACGGGAGGCAGCAGUGGGGAAUAUUGCACAAUGGGCGCAAGCCUGAUGCAGCGACGCCGCGUGAGGGAUGAAGGUCUUCGGAUUGUAAACCUCUUUCAGUAGGGACGAAGCGAAAGUGACGGUACCUAAAGAAGAAGCACCGGCUAACUACGUGCCAGCCGCCGCAGUAA